rnacentral:lncRNA from 1 species
UAACUUGUCUUUGUUCUCUAAUGAUUUUGUAGAAUUAUAUUGUUUUUGUUUUUUGGAAAAAUGUUGUUUUGAGUGUUGGGUUUUGUUUGGGUUGGGAUUAAAAGAUAUUUAGAUAUACAACUUAUAACUGUUACAGUUACUUUAUAAGGUGAUACAUUACACUGCAGGGAGAUAACUCUCACAGUUACUUUAUAAGGUGAUACAUUACACUGCAGGGAGAUAACUCUGACAGUUACUUUAUAAGGUGAUACAUUACACUGCAGGGAGAUAACUCUGACAGUUACUUUAUAAGUGAUACAUUACACUGCAGGAUUAUGACGUUUACUUUAUAGGUGAUACAUUACACUGCAGGGAGAUAACUCUGACAUUUACUUUAUAAGGUGAUACAUUACACUGCAGGGAGAUAACUCUGACGUUUACUUUAUAAGGUGAUACAUUACACUGCAGGGAGAUAACUCUGAGAAAGUCAGCUGAAUGCUUUAAACAUUUUCUAUUGUUUAGGAAAUAUUGAGCUUCUCAGUAUUCAAAAUUUGUGUUUGUUAAAUUUGUACAAUAUUCUAUGAAAUUUAAUCCGAUAAAUUGUAUGGUUCUGUGUUUUUGAAAAAAUUUUAUUUUUGUCAAAGGGUAAAAUUUAAUAUUUUUGAAUUUUUAUGACAAAUAACAAGCAAAAGUAAUUUAAGUAUGGUACCACCUUAAUGUUUUAAUGUGUAAGGGUGAGGUUCAGUCAUCACGACUGGCUUCAAUUCAUCGAAGACCAAUUAUUGUUAACAGUGGCAGGACUUCACAGGGUCAUUUCUGGACAUUUGAAUUUUAAAUCAAAAGACAAUUCUUAUAUUUUUGGAGUCUGGCCAUACUUACUUAACAUAUAUAUAAUUUUGAUGGGCUACGCUUAAUUUACUACAUAUGCAAGGGCAGUAACUCUUGAAAAUAUGAAAAAUUGGAAUUAGUUUGAAACUCAGUUAUUUACAUCUAUCCUAAUAUUGAUAAUUGUUUUUAUUUUAAUAUUCAGUAUAAGAAGGACUUUUUACUAUCAAUCAUACACAUUAUAUGUAAACUAGGAACAUUUAUAGGUUGUAUUAUAAUUUGUUUUAUUUUGUUGCCUAACACAC